UACGUAGGGGGCAAGCGUUGUUCGGAAUUACUGGGCGUAAAGGGCGCGUAGGCGGCAUGGCAAGUCAGGAGUGAAAGGCCUGGGCUCAACCGAGGAACUGCUUUUGAUACUGCCAAGCUAGAGUGCGGAAGGGGCAACUGGAAUUCCCAGUGUAGCGGUGAAAUGCGUAGAUAUUGGGAAGAACACCUGAGGCGAAGGCGGGUUGCUGGGCCGACACUGACGCUGAGGCGCGAAAGCCAGGGGAGCAACGGG
rnacentral:rRNA from 1 species